rnacentral:rRNA from 1 species
UCUACGGGUGGCAGCAGUGAGGAAUAUUGGUCAAUGGACGAGAGUCUGAACCAGCCAAGUAGCGUGAAGGAUGACUGCCCUAUGGGUUGUAAACUUCUUUUAUAUGGGAAUAAAAUGUUCCACGUUUGGGAUUUUGUAUGUACCAUAUGAAUAAGGAUCGGCUAACUCCGUGCCAGCAGCCGCGGUAAUACGGAGGAUCCGAGAGUUAUCCGGAUUUAUUGGGUUUAAAGGGAGCGUAGGUGGAUUGUUAAGUCAGCUGUGACAGUUUGCGGCUCAACCGUAAAAUUGCAGUUGAAACUGGCAGUCUUGAGUACAGUAGAGGUGUGCGGAAUUCGUGGUGUAGCGGUGAAAUGCUUAGAUAUCACGAAGAACUCCGAUUGCGAAGGCAGUUCACUGGACUGCAACUGACACUGAGGCUCGAAAGUGUGGGUAUCAAACAGGAUUAGAUACCCGUGUAGUC